AUUGAACGCUGGCGGUAUGCUUAACACAUGCAAGUCGAACGGUAGCAGGCCUUCGGGCGCUGACGAGUGGCGGACGGGUGAGUAAUGCAUAGGAAUCUGCCUUGUAGUGGGGGAUAACGUGGGGAAACUCACGCUAAUACCGCAUACGUCCUACGGGAGAAAGCUGGGGAUCUUCGGACCUGGCGCUAUAAGAUGAGCCUAUGUUGGAUUAGCUAGUUGGUAGGGUAAUGGCCUACCAAGGCGACGAUCCAUAGCUGGUCUGAGAGGAUGAUCAGCCACACUGGGACUGAGACACGGCCCAGACUCCUACGGGAGGCAGCAGUGGGGAAUAUUGGACAAUGGGCGAAAGCCUGAUCCAGCAAUACCGCGUGUGUGAAGAAGGCCU
rnacentral:rRNA from 1 species